rnacentral:lncRNA from 1 species
UUUAAUAUACAUUUCAGAUAUUAAUAAUUUGUAAGAUGAUUUAUCUUAAUAUACAUAUACAUAUACUUACUAAACAUAAUAUCAUAACGUAACAUAUUAUCAUAACGUAGUGGAUUACAUGUCAGAGAUCAGAUGACACCCGAAGGUGACCAGAUGACACCCGAAGGUGACCAGAUGACACUCGUCGGUGACCAGAUGACACCCGAAGGUGACCAGAUGACACCCGUCGGUGACCACUGUGGGAUGAUCAAUCACCACAGGCUGAUGCCUCUCUCACCAGCUAGGUAACAGAAUACUAUGUGCACACAGGCUAACUAUUCUCCGUUAGCAUGGAGUACUGACAAGUCCCAUAUCAAGGCAUAACAUAUAUUCACAUAAUCAUCAAAGAAACGUAUAUCAUAUCAAAUAGAAUU